rnacentral:lncRNA from 1 species
AGUCAGGGUGUCCGGGGGUGGAGGACAGAGUCCAGGCUGCUGGGUCACGUCUUCAUAGCAGCUGGAGUUUCUUGAGCACUUUCUAUACACGAGAGGUCACUAAAUGACUUCAGUGGCCUAUUUCUAAUAGCAAUGGUGGCACGUCUCAUUCCUCACCCAGGAGGGGAAACUGAGGCAUGGUGUUCAACAUCAUAGGAAGAGUGGGUAUGGGCCCAAGUCACUGGCUUGACUCGGUACCCACACUCUUGACUGUUGCAAGAGGCCUCGGCAGCAUUUGACCCUCUACAGGUGAUGCUCUAGGAUGUUCCUCCUGUCCACUCUGUGGAACGAUUACAGAGGUUGGUGCUGGAGGCAGUGAGAGGUAAGGAGCUGGCUGUCCUGGUUCAGAGGGAAAGGAGAGAAGAGACUGCAGGUGGACACACAGGCCUUACUGGGCCUGGCCAUGGGACGAACAGGGUGAGGCUGGAGGGAGAAAUAGGAUCAGAUGGUUGACUUCCAGCUUGGCCAGCGGUGCCAGUGCCAGCACCUGCCUUAAGGGUGGAUCGGCCAGAGAAGGAGGCUGUUGAGGGGCAUCUGGGAGGCAGGGACCUGCCUGAGGGGCAGAGCUGGCUGGCCAUGUGGCCUGAAGCUCAUGCUGAAGAUUUCUCCUUUCUGGUUCUACCAUGUCCCUGCAAAGCCUGUAGCUGUGCAUCUGUGACUCUGCAGUGCCCAUUCUCUGCUCCCUCUGAGGAUUAAGGUCACCAGUAUGUGACAUGCUCUGCCACCCCCCCUGCAGGUGUGGACAUGGGUCUGGUCAUAGUCCUCCCUCCUUCUCCCAGGCUGUGGCUCACUCUGUGGUUACCACCCCCACAUGCGUCUCUGUUACCCACCCGGUAGGUCUCUUCCUAAGGAGCUCUGCAAAUGGCCUUUCUCAAAGGAGGUUGGGAUAGUGUUCUUCUGUGUGAAUGGUGCAUAGGAUCUCAAGGGGCUGGUUUGUGAUGGCCCGGAUGUUGUCUGAAGUCCUAAGGAAAUGAAGUCCCUAGGGGGUCGGGGUAUGAUUGAUUAGCUUCACACCAAAUAAUGCCUUGGAAGUUCUAGUGCUUGUCUUGGGAGAACCAGAUAAUGAAAUCCUGCCCCAGAAAGGGGCCGAUGCAGGGUUUUCUCAGACAGGGUGCCUGCCCGUGCCAAUGCUGCCCAGUGGUUUUGAGCUCCCGCCACACGCUGGGACACACACAGAACACGAAGAGGGAAAGUGGACAAGGCUCAGCUGGUGCCCUCCAUGGAGCUGUGGUCGGUGGGAGGGGAAGAUGCAUUAACCCUGGGGGCGGGGAUGUCAUGGGAAGCUUUGUCCAAAGGCAAGUGGAACCCUCAGAGGUGGCCUGGAGGCAUCUUUUCUGGAUGUCGAUUUGGGGAUGAGGGUUGUUUGGAAAUCUCUGUAGAUUUGGGGCCAUUUGAACGAAGUCUAGAAGGAACCCUGGCCAUAGGACAAGGGCCCAUCAGGGCCACACGGGAACUUUUGAAGGAGAGGGACACCCUCCUUUUAGUAGUUUUCCAGGGUGACGGGUCCUUAGGGCCAUUCUAGGUGCAGGAAGGCCCCACCCCUGCUCCGCGUGAGGAAGCAGCAUCUUUGCAGAGCUGAGUUUCCUUGGAGCUCAGGACUGACUGAGGAGCAGGGGUGGCUGAUGAAGCUCGGGAGAGGUCUAGGCCGCCUCAUGAGGCUGCUGGCUAUAAGACCAACAUGGCGAGGUCUGCAUUCCCUCGCACCAGCACUGACCCACAGAGCGUGGAGAGAGG